UUUUUAUUGCUGCUUUUUCUACUUCUUAUUACUGUUCCCUGAGUUUUUUUCUCUCUCUAUCUUUGGUAUUGGGGAAGUACUCUAUAUAGGAUUUUCAUUAAGUUAUGCCGAUUCUUUGGUUUGAGCUCGAAAUUUAGGGACAAUGCCAUGUUUUUGCUUAGCUUAACGUGCUACUUCAGAACAAUAUUAGGAGGUUUUCUAGCUGAAACAAAUAAAUUGUUAUUUGUAGAGAAUUCAAAGUUCAAACCUAGCUAUAUUUAAUUAGGUGAAGCAGCUUCCUUCAACAUCCAGGACCUGUGAGUUAGUUUAUCUUUAAGGAAAGAUUGUUGUGUUGGGAUAAGUUAGGUUUAAUUUCUGUUGCAUCAUAAAUAACGUUAGGAUAAGCGUGUUAUCAUAGAUUUUGAAUACAAAUUAAACUAACUAUUCUGUUACGAUACAGAAACUUAUAAUUUUGAAUAUUCAAGCACUAUUCUUAUAUCCUGAUCAUAGCAAUAAAAUGGUCUGGUCACACCUUAACUGCGUUAGCAAAACUAUUCUUUUGCGCAUGCAGGAUCAACCAUAUCCAUUUCGUUAAAUACUUCACAAUUAUUUUCAUACACUCCUCCUGCUAUAUACGUACUAACAGGGAUGGAAAUCUAAAUUAGUGUUCUAAACGCUUUUCCUAUAUGAUCAGAUUUAGAUGGUAGGUUUAGGCAUCUUCCGAACAAGUAUAUUUAAUUAGCUUCAUCAGUGGCCAUUUAUCUAAUGGUAAUUAGAUGAGGAGGAAAAAAAAUCAAAAGAAUAAGAAAAAAGACAUCCACAGCAAUUGUAUUGGAUGCCCAUAUUCAUCAUUCUUUGAGAACAUGUUAACAUAUAUCCAUAUAUAUAUAUAUAUACAUAUAUAUGCCCAUAUUCAUCAUUCUUUGAUAACAUGUUAACAUAUAUAUAUGUAUAUAUAUAAUAUUUAGUUCAAAAUAAUAAAUGAGGCUGUGUGGGCCGUAGAGAUCCAAAUUGAUUUGCCAUCCAGAAAUUACAACUUUAAUAUAUAUAAAUGCAUUUCUUUUUAUAAGCACAGAGUAUAGUAAUAGCACCAAAACGCCAGGGGGAAGCCAAUGGUGAAAAGGGAGUACAAAAUACAGCUGCAGAACUAGCAUCAGACAGUAAAACAGCAACUUCAUGAGGAAUCUUUCCUUAUGAGAUAGAUAACUAUCAUUCAUUGUGGAUUACAUUUUUUCUUAUGAAAAGAAGUGAAAAACGAAACUAAAAAUCCUCAAAUAAUUGCUGUGAAAACUGAAGGGGAGAUUAAAACAGACACCUUAAUGCUAGGAUCGAUUGAACCUACAGAGAUUAUCCAAAUAGAAAAGGACCAUUACAAUCACAACCCUUCAAAUGCAAAUUGAAGAAAAGAUACAUCCGACAUUCAAUAGCUGAGUGAAUUCCAACAAAUCUCAACUAUACAGUCCACCUGAAGAUCAAUUUGGCAACUUGACGUAGACGUCGAGGCAUAUUGCUGUGCAAUUUCUGACCUUUUGGAUUCGUUGGCAAGCAUGUUCAUCUGCUCGGCUGCAUUAAAGGUGGCUGUACUGGAGAAGUUAUUGGUUCCCUUGGAGACAUCCUCAUGACUUAACUGGGAAGCAACAAAUUUGUCAAGGACUCGCCAAUCAGUCACUUGGUCUACAGCUUGCUCACUAUUAUUGUUAUUGUGAAGUGAGUUUAAAUUUUGUUGAUGGCAUUGCUGCAUUUUUUCUUCUUGUGUAAGGGUAGAUGACUGCAAGGUGUUCCCAUUGGUCCUGUCAAAACCAUAUGCAAUAACUGAAUUACAACUCGCAGUUGCUGCUGAUUGUGGAACUUUUGGGCUUUCUAAUUGAGGAAGCUGGAGGAAAGGGUCAUGAGGCAUAUUGUAUUGCAACUCAAGUUCUUGCUUGCAAUGAUAGUGAUGAUGGUAUGGUGCGUAAGGUUGAGAUAUUCGCCUUGGAGAAUCAAUUUCUGGCAUGAAUGAAACCUGGUCAUCAUACCAACAUGGUUGAAGGGCUGGAACUGUCAAUUAUUCUACUCGAUACAGAAUCUGAAGUUGUUCUGUACAGGGUCUUUGUAUCUAAUUCAUGUGCCAAAAAUCUCCCCACCACACACCUCAAUUUUAAGUACUACAGCUAGCGUCUAUCCUAUAUUCUACAGUUUA